rnacentral:rRNA from 1 species
GUUGUCCAGCAGUUCGGCUGGGCACUCUAAAGGGAACUGCCGGUGUUAAACCGGAGGAAGUGGGGAUGACGUCAAGUCCUCAUGGCCUUUAUGACCAGGGCUACACACGUACUACAAUGGCCGAUACAAAGGGCAGCGACACUGCGAGGUGAAGCCAAUCCCGUAAAAUACGGUCUCAGUCCGGAUUGGAGUCUGCAACUCGACUCCAUGAAGUUGGAAUCGCUAGUAAUCGUGGAUCAGCAUGCCACGGUGAAUACGUUCCCGGGCCUU